rnacentral:tRNA from 1 species
UCCCGGUGGCUCAGACUUUAAAGAAUCUGCCUGGAAUGCAGGAGACCUGGGUUCAAUUCCUGGAUUGGGAA